rnacentral:tRNA from 1 species
GCGGGGGUUGCCGAGCCAGGAAAAGGCGCCAGAUUCAGGGUCUGGUCCCGGAGGGGUCCGAGGGUUCAAAUCCCUCCCCCCGCA